GACGCGGUGGCCUAAUGGUUAGCGCGCUGGACUCCGCCAGAUCGAGUGGUCCGGGUUCGAGCCCUGGGCGGGGUCA